AAUUGGUUUUAGGUACCUUAUUUUUAAGGUUUAAUAGGGAAAGUGGUUAAAAUCCACUACAGCCCCCGCUACUGUAUACGAAGACGAAGCCGUAAUAUCCACUGGAUUGAUUUCUGGGAAGGAUGGCUUAGGAUGACGCGUGAGUCAGGAGACCUGCCUAAAAU
rnacentral:ncRNA from 1 species